AGUGAUUUGACUUGUGGCAAACAGGGCUGGAGAUAUCAGGGACUCUGUAACCUUGCAACUGCAUUUUGAUGGUUCCUUUAAACUUGUGGCCUUGCACUCUCUCAUCGGACUUCUAGCUGAUUACUUCUGUGUAGUAAGUAAAACUUAACUAGACAAAAAUUUGGUGAUCCAGACUUGUGCUUGCAAAUCUAAAAUCAGUUCUUUUGAUAGGAUUAUUUGAUUUGUUCUUGUACAGUUUAGAGAAUAAUUGGGAUUUUCUCACAGAAAGGGGGAUAAGUGGGAAGUAUUAUAUGUAUUCAGUUAUCCUGCUUAAAUCUGUAAUUGAGAAGGAAAGUAGACACUUUGUCAGCUAUACUAAUUAUACUCUAAUUUUGACAGUGAUGUUUAGGUUACUAAGCGAUUAAAAAGGAUUCAGAAAUAUUUAAAAUUAUAAUACCAUAUAUAUGUGUAUAUCUAUCUAUCUAUCUAUCUAUCUAUCUAUCUAUCUAUCUAUCUAUUUAUCUAUAUUCAUAUAUGUUGUAUUAGAGGCAUAUCUUAUCUUAAUGGGGUUAAAUACAUCUCUAUUUUCUGUCUAUCUGUCUAUCUAUCUGUCUGUCUCUCUAUCUGCCUAUCUAUCUGUCUAUCUGCCUGUUUAUCUACCUAUCUGCCUAUCUAUUUAUGUAUCCCAAGAAGACUGUUAAACAGCGGAUAGUCUUUUUUUUUUUCUAAAGAAGGAAUCAUAAUAAACAUUAUAACCAAGGCUUUAGCCUAGGAAGAUUUUGCAGCAGAGUGUUUGUCUUUGAAAUCUUUCAAAAAGAAGACUAUAACCUUGCCUGUUUCUGGUGACCGAUUAUAAUAAACAGAGGUCACAGGCAGUCCUUGCUACUGGCUUUCCUGGCAUGGUGCAAGUCAACAGGUCCUCUGGGAAAUAUUUGUAAGGUGAUUUUGCAACUUUGUCUUUUUUUUCUCAAGUUAAAAAUUUCAUCACUGUGAUAUGUAACUCAUUUAACAUAAGCUACUGAAACAUAAUGAAAUAGUUAAUAGGGUAAUAAGAAAUACUAAAAUCCUAAAGUUAAAUUAAAAAGUGUUCAAUCCACAAAUUAUUACCAAGGUGUUUUCAUGGUAAUACUUUGCUGAUAAUCGAAGGUAUACGAAAUCAGGUAUUGAAAUUAAGCAAAGUUGUAGGCACAAUUGCUUUAUUGGCUAUAUAUAAUACUUCUACUACUCAGUGCUUUAUGUUUUGACUUACAUUGUGAUGCAAUGCUCUAUAGCAAUAUUUGAACAGCUUGACUGUAGUUACAUUACAGGGUUGGCAAUAUUGCCUAGGGAAUUAGACCAUGGGGCAACAGGCAUACUUAGCCUCAGUGGGCACUGGGAGAAUGCAGGGUUGAAUGUCUUUCUAGAUUGGAGGAGAUAAUGCUAACACAUAUUUCCCCCCAAAUCAAAGCUGUGCUUGUGUCUAGAUCUGUCCAAUUCUCUUUCUCCCUUGGGCAACUAGAAGUGGUACUUACAUAUUGUAAACUAUACUUUCACAAUCUCAGGUAAUUUCUACUUCAUAUAAUCUAGCUUACCUAAAGCUUUAAAUACUAACUACAAACCAGUGUUGUAUUGUGUAGUAAUGCUACAAAACAUAUUUUAUAUUAAGUGACAAUGAACUCAUUAACUUUAGAAUGAUAUAAAUAACUAUCUCUGAAGAGCUAGAUGUUGUGUUUUAUCUUGUUUGUUGAAUGGAUAUGAAAUACUGAUUAUUUUCUAAACUUAAUUUUAUGCACUUAGCACUGUAAACAUUCAAAGAAUUCCCAGUGCAAAUACUGUUUCAUAAACUCCAAGGAUAUCCACACAGGGGACCUGUGAGGGUCACUGCUUUACUGGAUAAUUAAAGAAUCCUUUAUUGGAUUUGGUACCACAACAGUGAUAUUUGUUCUCUAAAGAUGAUGAAAGAUCAGUAGAGUCCUAGAGCAGUCUGUGGAGCCUUACGUUGCUUAGAAACUCAGUGGCUAUGAGCUUGCUAUGGCAACCCAAGUUAUCAGUGGCUGCAAACUUAGCUGGCAUUCUGCUACAUCUCCAUACUUUACUGGUAAGAAUAUUCAGAUAAUAGCUUCCAUAAUCUCAGUAAUUUUGUUAGUUAUGCAACCAGAAUAAAUGGUAUGUUAAUACACUCAGAUAUGAAAGUAGCUAUUUUAAUAGCUUAUACAUGAAAUUGAUUUUUACUCCUAUAUGUGUUCUAUUUCAAAUUAAUGAUGUGUGCUGUUUGCUUUCUCUAUGUAUAUGUGUAUAUAUAUAUAUAUAUUUCCUUUGUGUAUAUAUAUAUAUACAUAUGUGUAUAUAUAUAUGUGUGUGUGUGUAUGUAUGUAUUAUAAGAGAGAUAACUACGUAUGGUACAAUAAAAUAUGAAAACAAAAUUAAAACAGAAUGUUACUAAAAUAGUAUAUCAACUGUUUUAUAAAUUUGACUCCUUAGUUAUAUUUACAUAUUCUAUGAAUAUAGUACAACUUACUGUUAAUUUUAUUUUGUUUUCCUAACUCAUUUGCAGAUCAUAUAUAUGUAUAUUGUUAUAUAGUUUCUCAAGAUCUUACACUAAUAACUAUGUAAUCUGCUAUACUAGAAACCAAAUUCCUUUGGUGAGCACAUUUUGGAAGUCACUGCAAAGGCACAGGGAGACUGUCAUCCUUUUAGUUUGUGAAGUUCCUCAUCACAGUGUGUUUAUAGAAUGUGGUCUUUUGUGGCUAGCUCUGCUAUUAGAGUCAGGGAGGAACUUCACCGUUCUUCACAUUCGGACCAUGUAGAAUCUUUGCUCUUUCUGGAGCUCUCCCUGUGUAAGUCCUGUGCUUAGCUUAUCUCUGUAUUAAUUCCAACUUUGUGUUUAUCACUAUCAGUAGCCGAGGUUCUCCUGAGACAAGCCGCCACAGGCUCUAUUGCUGUUCUUUCCUCCUGGGCAUUAUCAUUUAUGCAUUUUGUUUUGAUAUUUAAGUGUUCACCCUGUUAAUAUUUCUCUUGAGAGAAGAAACAACUUGACUUAGGUUAUUACAGAAAAUAUCUCAAUUAAUAGAGAUACUAAAAUUUUUAUACUUUUCCAUAUUUGUGAUUUUGUAAAUGGUCAGCCUCUGUGAACGUCUUAGUAUGUUAGCACAGGUAGAUGGUGUCUUUGUAGAUAGUAAUAUGCCUCAAUGUAGAGAAGGGCACACACAGAACUUUGGGCUGUUUCCUGGAGUCAAUAGUCUACUGAAAGCCUAACCCAGAGCUCUUUAAGAUUCUAAUGAACAUUCAUUAAGAAAAUCAUGUGUUACAUAAAUAUUUUCCCCUUUUAUAUAAAAAUAGAUUCUUAGCUGCACAGCAGUGGUUCACACCUUUAAUCCCAGCACUUGAGAGGCAAAGGCAGCCAUCUCUGAGUUCAUAGACAGCCUGGUCUAUAGAGUGAGUUCCUUUUUCUGCCAAGGCUCCACAGAAAAAUUCUGUCUUCAGAAAUCAAAACUCAAAAAAACAAAAACAAAACAAAAACAAAAAG
rnacentral:lncRNA from 1 species